rnacentral:rRNA from 1 species
AUGGCUCAGGAUGAACGCUAGCUACAGGCUUAACAUAUGCAAGUCGAGGGGCGAGCAUGAUCGAAGCUUGCUUGAUGAUGGCGACCGGCGCACGGGUGAGUAACGCGUAUCCAACCUCCUAUAGUAGAGGAUAGCCCGGCGAAAGUCGGAUUAAUACUCUAUGUUUUCCAAUGCAGACAUCUAAAAAUGGAACAAAGGCUUGCCGCUAUAGGAUGGGGGAUGCGUCUGAUUAGGUUGUUGGCGGGGUAACGGCCCACCAAGCCUUCGAUCAGUAGGGGUUCUGAGAGGAAGGUCCCCCCACAUUGGAACUGAGACACGGUCCAAACUCCUACGGGAGGCAGCAGUGAGGAAUAUUGGUCAAUGGGCGAGAGCCUGAACCAGCCAAGUAGCGUGCAGGAAGACGGCCCUAUGGGUUGUAAACUGCUUUUAUAUAGGGAUAAAGUGCACUACGUGUAGUGUUUUGUAGGUACUAUAUGAAUAAGGACCGGCUAAUUCCGUGCCAGCAGCGGC